rnacentral:rRNA from 1 species
UAGGGAAUCUUCCGCAAUGGACGAAAGUCUGACGGAGCAACGCCGCGUGAGUGAAGAAGGAUUUCGGUUCGUAAAACUCUGUUGUUAGGGAAGAAAAAAUGUAUAGUAACUAUAUACAAAAGAGACGGUACCUAACCAGAAAGCCACGGCUAACUACGUGCCAGCAGCCGCGGUAAUACGUAGGUGGCAAGCGUUGUCCGGAAUUAUUUGGCGUAAAGCGCGCGCAGGUGGUUUAGAAAGUCUGAUGUGAAAGCCCACGGCUCAACCGUGGAGGGUUAUUUGAAACUAAUAAACUUGAGUGCAGGAGAGAAAAGUGGAAUUCCUAGUGUAGCGGUGAAAUGCGUAGAGAUUAGGAGGAACACCGGUGGCGAAAGCGGCUUUUUGGCCUGCAACUGACACUGAGGCGCGAAAGCGUGGGGAGCAAACAGG